rnacentral:rRNA from 1 species
AUUGAACGCUGGCGGCAGGCCUAACACAUGCAAGUCGAACGAGUGGCGGACGGGUGAGUAAUGUCUGGGAAACUGCCCGAUGGAGGGGGAUAACUACUGGACACGGUAGCUAAUACCGCAUACCCUCGGAUGUGCCCAGAUGGGAUUAGCUUGUAGGUGAGGUAACGGCUCACCUUGUCGACGAUCCCUAGCUGGGCUGAGAGGAUGACCAGCCACACUGGAACGGAGACAGGGUCCAGACUCCAAAGGUAGGAAGCAGUGGGGAAUAGUGCACAAUGGGGGCAAGCCUGCUGCAGCCAUGCCGCGUGUAUGAAGAAGGCCUUCGGGUUGUAAAGUACGUUCAGCGGGGAGGCGUUACCCGCAGAAGAAGCACCGGCUAACUACGUGCCAGCAGCCGCGGUAAUAC